rnacentral:rRNA from 1 species
AGUGGAGACAUUGUCCUUCAGUUAGGCUGGCCCCAGAACAGGUACUGCAUGGCUGUCGUCAGCCCGUGUCGUGAGAUGUUGGGUUAAGUCCCGCAACGAGCGCAACCCUCGCCCUUAGUUGCCAGCAUUUAGUUGGGCACUCUAAGGAGACAAACCCUCUUUGAGGGUGGGAAGGUGGGGAUGACGUCAAGUCAGGAUGGCCCUUACGUCUAGGGCUGCACACGUACUACGAUGCCCGGUACAGAGGGACGCAAUACCGCGAGGUGGAGCAAAUCCUAAAAACCGGGCCCAGUUCGGAUUGUAGUCUGCAACUCGACUACAUGAAGUUGGAAUCGCUAGUAAUGGCGCAUCAGCUACGGCGCCGUGAAUACGUUCCCGGGCCUUGUACACACCGCCCGU